UUACUUCAGCGGUACAUACACUAAAACUGGAAUGCUAUAGAGGAGAUUAUCAUGGCUCCUCUGUAAGAAUGACAUGCAAAUUCAUGAAGCGUUCUAUAUUUUU
rnacentral:snRNA from 1 species